rnacentral:rRNA from 1 species
UACGUAGGGCGCAAGCGUUGUCCGGAAUUAUUGGGCGUAAAGAGCUCGUAGGCGGCUUGUCACGUCGGGUGUGAAAGCCCGGGGCUUAACCCCGGGUCUGCAUUCGAUACGGGCAGGCUAGAGUGUGGUAGGGGCGAUCGGAAUUCCUGGUGUAGCGGUGAAAUGCGUAGAUAUCUGGAGGAACACCGGUGGCGAAGGCGGCAUCCUGGACCAACACUGACGCUGAGGAGCGAAAGCCAGGGGAGCAAACGGG